CCCGCCUUUGCUGUGCCUGUGCUGCUUCAGGCAAGUCCCUUCACCUCCCUGAGUCUCAGUUUCCUUGUCUGGCAAAUAGGGUGGGAAGAUACAAUGUGAUGUUUUCUUGCUAAAGGGCCUCAGCUGCUGCCUGGGGAAACACCUCCUCCCGCAUCUUCCACUUGGCCGGGCUGGCGCCUAAGGCUCGCUUCUGUCCCACCCAGAGGAGACGCUGGUGGGAAGGCAGUCUGACCUUGCUGACGUCAGCCCAAUCUUGACUUCUAGGAAACAGCUGCACUGGAGACCCCAAGUCUCGGGACCCCACCCCUGCUCCCUGCGCUGUGACUGGUCAGCCUUUAACCUGUGCCUCGGCGGCCGCUGGCUUUGCGGUGCUUCCUCUACAGGUCAUACUCAGGGCAGAAAUCAGAUGACAUUUUAAUCUGCAACUCAAGCGCCUCGUCCUGGGAAGGCUCCUGGUUCUUGGCAUGGGAUUCUGUGUCUCUGGGCGCCCAGCAGCAGCUCGAGAGUGGGCUCCGCUCCUCCUCCUCCACGUUAACUGGCUCAACUUCUCUUGACUUUUAAUAAUGCCCUGCCGACUGGCUGCCUUCUGCCUUGCCUGUGCACCGACGCUGGAUCCACAGUUCCUCUGAGCUAGGCUUCUUGGUGAGUCGUGUGGACUGACCCUUUUCAGGAAAGUGGUUGCUGGGUCUGUGGCUACAAAAAAGUGGAGGCCUCAGUCAGACAGCAGACACAUCUGUUUCCAAGCAAAUGUUUGAGGGAGUGACCGUUCUCCUUUCUAGGCUCAUAAACUAAGCAACAACAGUGACAGCAACAACAAUUUUGUUUUUCUUAUGCUCGUGAGGUCCUGUGGUACAAUGUUGAAUAAUUGUUAAGACAGCUAAUGUUUAUCAGGCACUUGUAUCUGCCUCGAUGGGGUAGUGUGGUAGACUGACUAAUGACCUAAUGUCUCCUCUAAGAUUCCCAUGUCCUGAUCCUUGGACCCUGUGAAUAUGACCUUAGGUGGCAGGAAAAAAAAAAAAAGUCUUUGCAGAUGUGGUUAAAUUUAGGAUUUUGACAUGGGGAGAUUCUCGUGGAUUAU
rnacentral:lncRNA from 1 species